rnacentral:rRNA from 1 species
AUUGAACGCUGGCGGCAGGCCUAACACAUGCAAGUCGAACGGUAACAGGAAGCAGCUUGCUGCUUUGCUGACGAGUGGCGGACGGGUGAGUAAUGUCUGGGAAACUGCCCGAUGGAGGGGGAUAACUACUGGAAACGGUAGCUAAUACCGCAUAACGUCGCAGACCAAAGAGGGGGACCUUAGGGCCUCUUGCCAUCGGAUGUGCCCAGAUGGGAUUAGCUAGUAGGUGGGGUAACGGCUCACCUAGGCGACGAUCCCUAGCUGGUCUGAGAGGAUGACCAGCCACACUGGAACUGAGACACGGUCCAGACUCCUACGGGAGGCAGCAGUGGGGAAUAUUGCACAAUGGGCGCAAGCCUGAUGCAGCCAUGCCGCGUGUAUGAAGAAGGCCUUCGGGUUGUAAAGUACUUUCAGCGGGGAGGAAGGGAGUAAAGUUAAUACCUUUGCUCAUUGACGUUACCCGCAGAAGAAGCACCGGCUAACUCCGUG